rnacentral:snRNA from 1 species
AUCUUCUCUCAGAGUUUUUGCUCUGAUUAUGUGUAGUAUCUGUUCUAGAAAGCUUAAUCUCUUUCUGCCUCCACACGUUGUGAGGCUGUAAUGAUUAACCUAAUUUAUUUUGGAGUACUAUGACCAUUUAUCUUUUGGCAACUGUGUUGUCCAUUUGUAAAUGUGUCUUCUAUCGGCCAUGAAUCGCACUACUAUCAUGGUAAUAAUAAAGGUAGACUCCAC